rnacentral:rRNA from 1 species
AUUGAACGCUGGCGGCAGGCCUAACACAUGCAAGUCGAGCGAGCGGCGGGCGGGUGAGUAAUGUAUGGGGACUGCCCGAUAGAGGGGGAUAACUACUGGAAACGGUGGCUAAUACCGCAUACUAUCGGAUAACCCAUAUGGGAUUAGCUAGUAGGUGGGGUAAAGGGUCACCUAGGCGACGAUCCCUAGCGGGUCUGCGAGGAUGAUAAGGCACACGGGGACCGAGACACGGGCAAAACGCCUACGGAGGCAGCAGUGGGGAAUAUUGCACAAUGGGCGCAAGCGUGAUGCAGCCAUGCCGCGUGUAGGAAUAGGGCCUGAGGGUUGUAAGGUUCUUUCAGCGUGGAGGCGGUACGCGCAGAAGAAGCACCGGCUAACUACGUGCCAGCAGCCGCGGUAAUAC